UACGAAGGGUGCAAGCGUUAAUCGGAAUUACUGGGCGUAAAGCGUGCGCAGGCGGUUCGUUGUGUCGGCGGUGAAAGCCCCGGGCUCAACCUGGGAAUGGCCGUUGAAACUGGCGAACUGGAGUGUGGCAGAGGGGGGUGGAAUUCCGCGUGUAGCAGUGAAAUGCGUAGAGAUGCGGAGGAACACCGAUGGCGAAGGCAGCCCCCUGGGCUAACACUGACGCUCAGGCACGAAAGCGUGGGGAGCAAACAGG
rnacentral:rRNA from 1 species